GGUUCUAUAUAUCAGUGGUUAGAUUAUUUCGCCUACACCGAAAAGGUCGCCGGUUCGAUCCCGGCUGGAACCA
rnacentral:tRNA from 13 species